ensembl:lncRNA
CAUAACCGGAUAUCCAUAGCAAAAAGGAAGAAAGGCAUAACCGGAUAUCCAUAGCAAAAAAGGAAGAAAGGCAUAACCGGAUAUCCAUAGCAAAAAAGGAAGAAAGGCAUAACCACAUAUCCAUAGCAAAAAAGAAGAAAGGCAUAACCGGAUAUCCAUAGCAAAAAGGAAGAAAGGCAUAACCACAUAUCCAUAGCAAAAAAGAAGAAAGGCAUAACCGGAUAUCCAUAGCAAAAAAGAAGAAAGGCAUAACCGGAUAUCCCAAGUCCAUUCAACAUACAUACGUAAUGUAAGCGCGCACCGGACACAGAUCAUGUAACAUCUGUUGCUCUUCACAAGCAAUGAGUAGGUGAAAAGGGAAAUAGCAAAAAAGCUAAGGGGGAAAAAACUGUAUAGAUUAGCAUAAAUUUCAAGCUGGUUCAUGCUGGUCUAUGUUGGUCAGUGCCAGUUGGAUGCUGGUCAAGCUGGUCUGACCAGUAUGGUCUAGCUGGUAAUGCUGACAGACCAAGCUGGUCUUUGUUGUAAAAAAAAAAUUGUGCCAACCGUUAGUGGAAGUGUUGUACCAGUUGAUGUGGUUUUAUCAUUAUGUUGAUGUAGAUUGAGCACCUUGUUUGUCCACUCCCAGUUAUACAGUCUUUGUAAGAGGUUGUGACAAUCAAGAGCUUCACUGU